UACAGAGGUCCCAAGCGUUGUUCGGAUUCACUGGGCGUAAAGGGUGCGUAGGUGGCCAGGUAAGUUUGGUGUGAAAGCUCGGAGCUUAACUCCGAAAAGUCAUUGAAUACUAUCUGGCUGGAGGGUCGGAGGGGAGACUGGAAUUCUCGGUGUAGCAGUGAAAUGCGUAGAUAUCGAGAGGAGCACCAGUGGCGAAGGCGAGUUGCUGGGCCGACACUGACGCUGAUGCGCGAAAGCCAGGGGAGCGAACGGG
rnacentral:rRNA from 1 species